rnacentral:rRNA from 1 species
UACGUAGGGGGCAAGCGUUGUCCGGAAUUAUUGGGCGUAAAGGGCACGCAGGCGGUCCUUUAAGUCUGAUGUGAAAUCUUGCGGCUUAACCGCAAGCUGUCAUUGGAAACUGAAGGACUUGAGUGCAGAAGAGGAGAGUGGAAUUCCACGUGUAGCGGUGAAAUGCGUAGAGAUGUGGAGGAACACCAGUGGCGAAGGCGACUCUCUGGUCUGCAACUGACGCUGAGGUGCGAAAGCGUGGGUAGCGAACAGG